AAGACAACUAGCCGGCAGGCUUAAACAUGCAAGUCGAGGGGUAACAGGAGUGCUUGCACUUGCUGACGACCGGCGCACGGGUGCGUAACGCGUAUAGAACCUACCUUUUACUGAGGGAUAGCCUUUAGAAAUGAAGAUUAAUACCUCAUAGUAUUUAGAUUUGGCAUCAGAUUUAAAUUAAAGAUUUAUUGGUAAAAGAUGGCUAUGCGUCUUAUUAGUUAGAUGGUGAGGUAACGGCUUACCAUGGCAACGAUAAGUAGGGGCCCUGAGAGGGGGAUCCCCCACACUGGUACUGAGACACGGACCAGACUCCUACGGGAGGCAGCAGUGAGGAAUAUUGGGCAAUGGAGGCAACUCUGACCCAGCCAUGCCGCGUGCAGGAAGACUGCCCUAUGGGUUGUAAACUGCUUUUAUACAGGAAGAAACGCAUCUACGUGUAGGUGUUUGACGGUACUGUAAGAAUAAGCACCGGCUAGCUCCGUGCCAGCAGCCGCGGUAAUACGGAGGGUGCAAGCGUUAUCCGGAAUCAUUGGGUUUAAAGGGUCCGCAGGCGGUCAAUUAAGUCAGAGGUGAAAUCCCACAGCUUAACUGUGGAACUGCCUUUGAUACUGGUUGACUUGAGUUAUACGGAAGUAGAUAGAAUGUGUAGUGUAGCGGUGAAAUGCAUAGAUAUUACACAGAAUACCGAUUGCGAAGGCAGUCUACUACGUGUAUACAGACGCUCAUGGACGAAAGCGUGGGGAGCGAACAGGAUUAGAUACCCUGGUAGUCCACGCCGUAAACGAUGGACACUAGUUGUUGGAAUUAUUCAGUGACUAAGCGAAAGUGAUAAGUGUCCCACCUGGGGAGUACGAUCGCAAGAUUGAAACUCAAUGACUUGACGG
rnacentral:rRNA from 1 species